rnacentral:tRNA from 1 species
GCGCCCGUAGCUCAGCUGGAUAGAGCGUCUGACUACGAAUCAGAAGGCCGCAGGUUCGAGCCCUGCCGGGCGCA